rnacentral:piRNA from 1 species
GACACUGCUGGGUACGAAGGACG